rnacentral:rRNA from 1 species
GAUGAACGCUGGCGGCGUGCCUAACACAUGCAAGUCGAACGAAGCGCUUCCGCUAGAUUUUCUUCGGAGAUGAAGGCGGCUGCGACUGAGUGGCGGACGGGUGAGUAACGCGUGGGCAACCUGCCUUGCACUGGGGGAUAACAGCCAGAAAUGGCUGCUAAUACCGCAUAAGACCGAAGCGCCGCAUGGCGCAGCGGCCAAAGCCCCGGCGGUGCAAGAUGGGCCCGCGUCUGAUUAGGUAGUUGGCGGGGUAACGGCCCACCAAGCCGACGAUCAGUAGCCGACCUGAGAGGGUGACCGGCCACAUUGGGACUGAGACACGGCCCAGACUCCUACGGGAGGCAGCAGUGGGGAAUAUUGCACAAUGGGGGAAACCCUGAUGCAGCGACGCCGCGUGAAGGAUGAAGUAUUUCGGUAUGUAAACUUCUAUCAGCAGGGAAGAAGAUGACGGUACCUGACUAAGAAGCCCCGGCUAACUACGUG